UCCUCCGUGGCGCAAUUGGCUAGCGCGUCGUAAGUUGAAACCCCGAGGUUUAGACACUGUUGAUAAACUAAUCUAACCAUAUAUGUAGUGACUGUUAAUCAGGAGGUUGAAAGUUCGAGUCUUUCCGGGGGAG